UACGGAGGAUGCAAGCGUUAUCCGGAAUGGUUGGGCGUAAAGCGUCCGCAGGUGGCAGUUCAAGUCUGCUGUCAAAGACCGGGGCUUAACUUCGGAAAGGCAGUGGAAACUGAACAGCUAGAGUAUGGUAGGGGCAGAGGGAAUUCCUGGUGUAGCGGUGAAAUGCGUAGAGAUCAGGAAGAACAUCGGUGGCGAAGGCGCUCUGCUGGACCAUAACUGACACUCAGGGACGAAAGCUAGGGGAGCGAAUGGG
rnacentral:rRNA from 1 species